GUGUCAGCAGCCGCGGUAAUACGUAGGUGGCGAGCGUUGUCCGGAAUUAUUGGGCGUAAAGCGCGCGUAGGCGGGAUAUUAAGUCUAUUCUAAAAGUGCGGGGCUCAACCCCGUGAUGGGAUGGAAACUAAUAUUCUUGAGUACCGGAGAGGAAAGCGGAAUUCCCAGUGUAGCGGUGAAAUGCGUAGAUAUUGGGAGGAACACCAGUGGCGAAGGCGGCUUUCUGGACGGUGUCUGACGCUGAGGCGCGAAAGCCAGGGGAGCGAACGGGAUUAGAUACCCCGGUAGUCCUGGCCGUAAACGAUGGGUACUAGGUGUAGGGGGUAUCGACCCCUCCUGUGCCGGAGUUAACGCAAUAAGUACCCCGCCUGGGGAGUACGGCCGCAAGGUUGAA
rnacentral:rRNA from 1 species